rnacentral:rRNA from 1 species
AACGCGAAGAACCUUACCCGGGUUUGAAUUGCAUCGGUUGUAGCCGGCAGAGAUGUCGGCGAGCCCGCAAGGGCGCUGAUGUGAAGGUGCUGCAUGGCUGUCGUCAGCUCGUGCCGUGAGGUGUUGGGUUAAGUCCCGCAACGAGCGCAACCCUUGUCCUUAGUUGCCAGCGCGUAAAGGCGGGCACUCUGGGGAGACUGCCGUCAUAAGACGGAGGAAGGUGGGGAUGACGUCAAGUCAGCAUGGCCCUUACGUCCGGGGCUACACACGUGCUACAAUGGUCGGUACAACGGGCAGCGAGACCGCGAGGUGGAGCGAAUCCCUUUAAAGCCGGCCUCAGUUCGGAUUGCAGGCUGCAACUCGCCUGCAUGAAGUUGGAAUCACUAGUAACUGCAGAUCAGCUACGCUGCGGUGAAUGCGUUCCCGGGCCUUGUACACACCGACUGUAC